rnacentral:rRNA from 1 species
CCCAGACUCCUACGGGAGGCAGCAGUGGGGAAUAUUGGGCAAUGGGCGAAAGCCUGACCCAGCAAUGCCGCGUGAAUGAAGAAGGUCUUAGGAUUGUAAAAUUCUGUCCUAUGGGAAGAAACAAAUGACGGUACCAUAGGAGGAAGCCCCGGCUAACUACGUGCCAGCAGCCGCGGUAAUACGUAGGGGGCAAGCGUUAUCCGGAUUUACUGGGUGUAAAGGGAGCGUAGACGGAAUUGCAAGUCUGAUGUGAAAAUCCGGGGCCCAACCCCGGAACUGCAUUGGAAACUGUAUUUCUAGAGUGUCGGAGAGGCAAGUGGAAUUCCUGGUGUAGCGGUGAAAUGCGUAGAUAUCAGGAGGAACACCAGUGGCGAAGGCGGCUUGCUGGACGAUGACUGACGUUGAGGCUCGAAAGCGUGGGGAGCAAACAGGAUUAGAUACCCGAGUA